rnacentral:misc_RNA from 1 species
GAUGAAGAACGCAGCGAAAUGCGAUAAGUAGUGUGAAUUGCAGAAUUCAGUGAAUCAUCGAAUCUUUGAACGCACAUUGCGCCCCUUGGUAUCCCGAGGGGCAUGCCUGUUCGAGCGUCAUUUCACCACUCAAGCCUGGCUUGGUGUUGGGCGACGUCCUCUUUGGGGACGCGCCUCGAAACGCUCGGCGGCGUGGCACCGGCUUUAAGCGUAGCAGAAUCUUUCGCUUUGGAAGUCGGGGCCCCGUCUGCCGGAAGACCUGCUCGCAAGGUUGACCUCGGAUCAGGCAGGAAUACCCGCUGAACUUAAGCAUAUCAAUAAGCGGAGGA